AUUGAACGCUGGCGGCAGGCCUAACACAUGCAAGUCGAACGAGUGGCGGACGGGUGAGUAAUGUCUGGAAAACUGCCUGAUGGAGGGGGCUAACUCCUGGAACCGGUAGCUAAUACCGCAUACCAUCAGAUGUGCCCCGAUGGGAUUAGCUUGUGGGGGGGGUAACGGCUCACCAAGGCGACGAUCCCUAGCUGGUCUGAGAGGAUGACCAGCCACAAUGGAACUGAGAAACGGGCAAGACUCCUACGGGAGGCAGCAGUGGGGAAUAUUGCACAAUGGGCGCAAGCCUGAUGCAGCCAUGCCGCGUGUAUGAAGAAGGUCUUAGGGUUGUAAAGUACUUUCAGCGGGGAGGCGGUACCCGCAGAAGAAGCACCGGCUAACUCCGUGCCAGCAGCCGCGGUAAUAC
rnacentral:rRNA from 1 species